rnacentral:rRNA from 1 species
CCUACGGGUGGCAGCAGUGGGGAAUAUUGCGCAAUGGGCGAAAGCCUGACGCAGCGACGCCGCGUGAGGGAUGAAGGUAUUCGGAUCGUAAACCUCUGUCAGCAGGGAAGAAAGGUCACUGUGCUAAUCAGCAGUGAAUUGACGGUACCUGCAAAGGAAGCACCGGCUAACUCCGUGCCAGCAGCCGCGGUAAUACGGAGGGUGGGAGCGUUAAUCGGAAUUACUGGGCGUAAAGCGCGCGUAGGCGGUAUGUCAAGUCAAGGGUGAAAUCCCCGCGCUCAACGUGGGAACUGCCUUUGAAACUGGCAAACUGGAGUGGGUGAGAGGAGAGUGGAAUUCCAGGUGUAGGAGUGAAAUGCGUAGAUAUUUGGAGGAACAUCAGUGGCGAAGGCGACUAUCUGGCACAUAACUGACGCUGAGGAGCGAAAGCGUGGGUAGCAAACAGGAUUAGAUACCCCUGUAGUC